rnacentral:rRNA from 1 species
CAACCUGCCUGUAAGACUGGGAUAACUUCGGGAAACCGGAGCUAAUACCGGAUAAUCCUUUUCCUUUCAUGAGGAAAAGCUGAAAGACGGUUUCGGCUGUCACUUACAGAUGGGCCCGCGGCGCAUUAGCUAGUUGGUGAGGUAACGGCUCACCAAGGCGACGAUGCGUAGCCGACCUGAGAGGGUGAUCGGCCACGCUGGGACUGAGACACGGCCCAGACUCCUACGGGAGGCAGCAGUAGGGAAUCUUCCGCAAUGGACGAAAGUCUGACGGAGCAACGCCGCGUGAGUGAUGAAGGCCUUCGGGUCGUAAAGCUCUGUUGUUAGGAAGAACAGUACUCGACGUACUGCCGGUACCUUGACGGUACCUAACCAGAAAGCCACGGCUAACUACGUG